UUCUUACUGGUCUAUCGGCUAGGAUGCGCGCCUCUCAAUAAUCUUCGACAGAUCUUGUGCUCGCGCGAGGGCGGGGUUCGACUCCCCGGUAGGAAA